ensembl:lncRNA
GUCGGAUGUGACUGAAGCGACAGGCAGCCGUGGCCUCCAGAGCCUGGCGGGCAGGACGCAGGACCUGACCUCUCCAGGAGCAGCAUCUCCUGUGAUGAGACCUUAGUGGGGAUGCAGGCAGGACGUGUGGGGUGACUGCACGGCGAGGCUCUGGUCUGGUGUGAACCCAGGGCAGGAAAGACUCCCCUGUGGAUUGCAGAGAGACCCUGGACCCCUUGCUGAAGCCGCGCCUCUCCCACUACGGUCUCCCCAUCAGGACGGUAUAAGGUGGGGGGCAGAGGGUGCCUGCUGGAGCCAAAGACGGAGCCCUCGAUGAUGGCUCCGGGAGGCCAGGAUGGGUCUGCCGUCUGUGCAGGAAGUAGGAGAUGGGCGCACCUGGAUGGGCAGGAUUUACAAGUAGGGGGACGUCUCAAGCCCACCUGGAAGGAGGAAUACUAAGUAUCUGUACACACAGUCGCCCCCAGGAAGGAUCCGGUGAGCAGGAAUUUGUUGUUGUCGUUCAGUCGCUCGGUCGUGUCCAACUGUCUUUGACCCCAUGGACUGCAGCACACCAGGCCUCCCUGUCCAUCACCAAUUCCCAGAGCUCUCUCAGACUCACGUCCAUCGAGUCAGCGAUGCCAUCCAACCGUCUCCAUCUGCUAGAACCUUGUUUAUGAAUCCUAAAUUUAUUAGUCUGGGCUUCUACUAGUGGAGAAUCCACCCGCCAAUGCAUGGGCUCCCAGGUGACUAACAGAAUGAAGCAUCCAAGUCUCUCCUUCCUCGUCGUCUGGCUUCACGUGUCUGAGCAAAGCAUUUGGCUGUGGUCCAACCAGAGACGCCGUGGAUGUCCUGGCAAGCUGCUCUGUGUCUACAUGGGCUUAUGGAACAGGGAGCUCACCUGAACGCGCCCCCUCUCUCCCCCGACCACGUCUAUCUCCUGCGGACGGUGAUGGAUCUGGGGGCCCCGUCUCCCGGAGCUGCAUGUGAAGUCACAAGUGUUCAAAAGCCCUGAAGCUUGGUCACGGGUCCCGUUCCUGGAUCCCAGAAUUCUUGCUCAGAAAAGCCGAUCUGAAAAACCGUCCGUUUGCUGUCUGGGUCUGUGGCAGCUGGUUGAGCGUGGUUUUCAGUGUGUGUGUGUCUUUGGGUGAUGUUGAAGUUCGCGUAAGUAUCCUUCUUGGUAGGUUCCUGUGAUUAUAGGUUGAGCCCACGUGUUAGUCUAUGAGCAAACAGAAUUGCUCAUUUGGGGGGGCCAAAAAAAAAGAUAAAGCAAAGGAUAAAAAGCGAGAAGAGCCAACGAACUAAAACGGGAAGUUUCCAGAGUAGCAAGGUGUCGCCUUAGGACCCGGCUGGCAUUUCGUCUUUUCAGUGGGUGGUUUCUUGCUUUGCUCUCUCAGCUUUCUUAUGGUUGUGGCUGUUCGGUCGCUCAGUCGUGUCUGACCCUUGGCAACCCCG